GACAACUUAGCGAAGUGGUCUAACGCGAUUGACUAGAAAUCAAUUCUCUUCGGAGGCGCAGGUUCGAACCCUGCAGUUGUCG
rfam:Dictyostelium purpureum unplaced genomic scaffold DICPTscaffold_138, whole genome shotgun sequence.